rnacentral:rRNA from 1 species
AUGAGCUGGCGGGGCAUAUGGAAGAUAUCCCAUGGGCCAGCAGCUGGAGCCUGGAAGCAGAUGUUAAUGCUCCAUAGCAGAGAGUUUAGGUUUACAGCAAACAGCGACUACCAAAUUUUCCAUGUAGGAUAUAAACGGAGAUUGUCAUGGAGAUGGUUGCCAUCAGUUCCAUUUUGUUGCACAUCACAAGCCUGCCAUUUUAGAUGGGGAGAUGCAUUCAUGUGCUUGCUGUUGCGUGCCAGUAGCUUCGUUCAGUUGCUUCAGUGGGAUAAAGUUACUCGAUGUGGAUUUUGUUCUGUAAACGUUCAACAAAUUUGCCAGCGAGUAGUUUGA